rnacentral:rRNA from 1 species
AGUAAUGUGAAUUGCAGAAUUCAGUGAAUCAUCGAAUCUUUGAACGCACAUUGCGCCCUUUGGUAUUCCUUAGGGCAUGCCUGUUCGAGCGUCA